UACAGAGGUCCCAAGCGUUGUUCGGAUUCACUGGGCGUAAAGGGUGCGUAGGCGGUCGGGUAAGUCUGAUGUGAAAUCUCACAGCUUAACUGUGAAACUGCAUUGGAUACUAUCCGGCUAGAGGAAUGGAGGGGAGACUGGAAUACUUGGUGUAGCAGUGAAAUGCGUAGAUAUCGGAAGGAACAUCAGUGGCGAAAGCGGCUUCCUGGACCAGCACCGACGUUCAGGCACGAAAGCGUGGGGAGCAAACAGG
rnacentral:rRNA from 1 species